GUGCCAGGGAUGCAGUAGCCUCACCAAGCAACAGUGGUCUCCUUCAGCUCCUCAGAACAGCACUUCUUGGAAGCAGUGCCAGCUCCUGCCUACCUUUUUUGAAGAGUGCCUGGUCUGUCAGCUGAAAGGAGACACUGAAAUGGAUGCUGAAAGCACCUGAGGAGCUGGGGAGGAGCUGAAGGAUCACUUCACCACUCUCAUCCUUUCGUCAAGCAACAGUCAGUUUUCUGUAUACAAUGCAUGCAGGAUGGAGAAGGACAUGGGAUAGGAUUGACGUUUAGCACGUGUAGCUGGUGAAAAAAAUUGUGAAGGAAAUGCAGUACUCAGAGUCACAGGAUACCAGCAGGAACCAGGCAUCUGCAAUGGUGAUGAGGAAUUACAAAAGAGCAUUUCUGCGUAGGGA
rnacentral:lncRNA from 1 species